GCAGUCGAACGAUGAUGCCCAGCUUGCUGGGUUGAUUAGUGGCGAACGGGUGAGUAACACGUGAGUAACCUGCCCCUGACUCUGGGAUAAGCGUUGGAAACGACGUCUAAUACUGGAUAUGACUGCCGGCCGCAUGGUCUGGUGGUGGAAAGAUUUUUUGGUUGGGGAUGGACUCGCGGCCUAUCAGCUUGUUGGUGAGGUAAUGGCUCACCAAGGCGACGACGGGUAGCCGGCCUGAGAGGGUGACCGGCCACACUGGGACUGAGACACGGCCCAGACUCCUACGGGAGGCAGCAGUGGGGAAUAUUGCACAAUGGGCGAAAGCCUGAUGCAGCAACGCCGCGUGAGGGAUGACGGCCUUCGGGUUGUAAACCUCUUUUAGUAGGGAAGAAGCGACUGAGUUUACUCUGAGUGACGGUACCUGCAGAAAAAGCACCGGCUAACUACGUGCCAGCAGCCGCGGUAAUACGUAGGGUGCAAGCGUUGUCCGGAAUUAUUGGGCGUAAAGAGCUCGUAGGCGGUUUGUCGCGUCUGCUGUGAAAUCCCGAGGCUCAACCUCGGGCUUGCAGUGGGUACGGGCAGACUAGAGUGCGGUAGGGGAGAUUGGAAUUCCUGGUGUAGCGGUGGAAUGCGCAGAUAUC
rnacentral:rRNA from 1 species